GAUGAACGCUGGCGGCGUGCCUAAUACAUGCAAGUCGAGCGAACGGACGAGAAGCUUGCUUUUCUGAUGUUAGCGGCGGACGGGUGAGUAACACGUGGAUAACCUACCUAUAAGACUGGGAUAACUUCGGGAAACCGGAGCUAAUACCGGAUAAUAUUUUGAACCGCAUGGUUCAAAAGUGAAAGACGGUCUUGCUAUCACUUAUAGAUGGAUCCGCGCUGCAUUAGCUAGUUGGUAAGGUAACGGCUUACCAAGGCAACGAUGCGUAGCCGACCUGAGAGGGUGAUCUGCCACACUGGAACUGAGACACGGUCCAGACUCCUACGGGAGGCAGCAGUAGGGAAUCUUCCGCAAUGGGCGAAAGCCUGACGGAGCAACGCCGCGUGAGUGAUGAAGGUCUUCGGAUCGUAAAACUCUGUUAUUAGGGAAGAACAUAUGUGUAAGUAACUGUGCACGUCUUGACGGUACCUAAUCAGAAAGCCACGGCUAACUACGUG
rnacentral:rRNA from 1 species